rnacentral:rRNA from 1 species
CGGACCUCAGAUCAGGCAAGACCACCCGCUGAGUUUAAGCAUAUCACUAAGCGGAGGAAAAGAAACUAACAAGGAUUUCCCUAGUAACGGCGAGCGAACCGGAAGU